AUUGAAGCACUGGUUCUCGUAUGAUCACCGAAGUUAAGCAACGUCGAGACUGGUCAUUACCUAGAUGGGUGACCGCUUUGGAAUACCAGAUGCUGUAAG